CAGUCGCCGCGGUAAGACAGAGGAUGCAAGCGUUAUCCGGAAUGAUUGGGCGUAAAGCGUCUGUAGGUGGCUUUUCAAGUCCGCCGUCAAAUCCCAGGGCUCAACCCUGGACAGGCGGUGGAAACUACCAAGCUAGAGUACGGUAGGGGCAGAGGGAAUUCCCGGUGGAGCGGUGAAAUGCGUUGAGAUCGAAAAGAACACCAACGACGAAAGCACUCUGCUGGGUCGACACUGACACUGAGAGACGAAAGCUAGGGGAGCAAAUGGGAUUAGAUACCCCUGUAGUCCCUGUCUCUUAUAC
rnacentral:rRNA from 1 species